AAAUUGAAGAGUUUGAUCAUGGCUCAGAUUGAACGCUGGCGGCAGGCCUAACACAUGCAAGUCGAGCGGUAGCACAGAGAGCUUGCUCUCGGGUGACGAGCGGCGGACGGGUGAGUAAUGUCUGGGAAACUGCCUGAUGGAGGGGGAUAACUACUGGAAACGGUAGCUAAUACCGCAUAAUGUCGCAAGACCAAAGUGGGGGACCUUCGGGCCUCAUGCCAUCAGAUGUGCCCAGAUGGGAUUAGCUAGUAGGUGGGGUAACGGCUCACCUAGGCGACGAUCCCUAGCUGGUCUGAGAGGAUGACCAGCCACACUGGAACUGAGACACGGUCCAGACUCCUACGGGAGGCAGCAGUGGGGAAUAUUGCACAAUGGGCGCAAGCCUGAUGCAGCCAUGCCGCGUGUGUGAAGAAGGCCUUCGGGUUGUAAAGCACUUUCAGCGGGGAGGAAGGCGGUGAGGUUAAUAACCUC
rnacentral:rRNA from 2 species